rnacentral:rRNA from 1 species
CCUACGGGAGGCUGCAGUGGGGAAUUUUGGACAAUGGGCGCAAGCCUGAUCCAGCUAUUCCGCGUGUGGGAAGACGGCCUUCGGGUUGUAAACCACUUUUGUAGAGAACGAAAAGUCUAUUGAUAAUACCGAUAGAUGAUGACGGUACUCUAAGAAUAAGCACCGGCUAACUACGUGCCAGCAGCCGCGGUAAUACGUAGGGUGCGAGCGUUAAUCGGAAUUACUGGGCGUAAGGGGUGUGCAGGCGGUUUUGCAAGUUGGAUGUGAAAGCCCCGGGCUUAACCUGGGAAAGCCAUACAUGACUGCAAGACUAGAGUGCGUCAGAGGGAGGUGGAAUUCCAAGUGUAGCAGUGAAAUGCGUAGAUAUUUGGAAGAACACCGAUGGCGAAGGCAGCCCCCUGGGACGCAACUGACGCUCAUACACGAAAGCGUGGGGAGCAAACAGGAUUAGAUACCCCAGUAGUC